rnacentral:lncRNA from 1 species
CCCGAACAAUAUGAUGAAAUGCCACAUGACAGUUUCCUUAUGGGAAAGGGAAGUGUAUUACAGUCUCGAUUAACUUCAUUCUGCCAAGAAACUUCUGUAGAUACAGCAUCCACUAAUAACAUUUGCUUGACACAUGAAUUGAUCGGACCUUUGCAUCAAGUGGCUGCAGAAAUCAGUUCAAAGGAAGAGGUCACCCCAGAAAUCAGUUCCUUCUGCCAAGAAACUUCUGUAGAUACAGCAUCCACUAAUAACAUUUGCUUGACACAUGAAUUGAUCGGACCUUUGCAUCAAGUGGCUGCAGAAAUCAGUUCAAAGGAAGAGGUCACCCCAGAAAUCAGUUCAAAGGAAGAGGUUGCCCCAGAAAUCAGUUCAAAGGAAGAGAAGGUUGAACGCAGCUCUUCCAGUAUGGAGGCAAACCCUACGAG